rnacentral:rRNA from 1 species
UGGGGAAUCUUGCACAAUGGGGGCAACCCUGAUGCAGCGACGCCGCGUGAGCGAUGAAGCCCUUCGGGGCGUAAAGCUCUUUCGACCGGAACGAUAAUGACGGUACCGGGAGAAGAAGCUGCGGCUAACUACGUGCCAGCAGCCGCGGUAAUACGUAGGCAGCAAGCGUUGUUCGGAGUUACUGGGCGUAAAGAGUGCGUAGGCGGUUUUCUAAGUUCGGUGUGAAAUCUCCCGGCUUAACUGGGAGGGUGCGCCGAAGACUGGGAAGCUGGAGUGUGGGAAAGGCAGGCGGAAUUCCUGGUGUAUCGGUGAAAUGCGUAGAUAUCAGGAGGAACACCUGCGGUGUAGACGGCUUGCUAGACCAUAACUGACGCUGAGGCACGAAAGCGUGGGUAGCAAACA